GCAUAUCAAUAAGCGGAGGAAAAGAAACCAACAGGGAUUGCCCUAGUAACGGCGAGUGAAGCGGCAACAGCUCAAAUUUGAAAUCUGGCGCAAGCCCGAGUUGUAAUUUGUAGAGGAUGCUUCUAGGUAGCGACCGGUCUAAGUUCCUUGGAACAGGACGUCAUAGAGGGUGAGAAUCCCGUAUGCGACCGGCCCGCACCUUCUACGUAGCUCCUUCGACGAGUCGAGUUGUUUGGGAAUGCAGCUCUAAAUGGGAGGUAAAUUUCUUCUAAAGCUAAAUACCGGCCAGAGACCGAUAGCGCACAAGUAGAGUGAUCGAAAGAUGAAAAGCACUUUGGAAAGAGAGUUAAAAAGCACGUGAAAUUGUUGAAAGGGAAGCGCUUACAACCAGACUUCUGGGCGGUGUUCCGCCGGUCUUUUGACCGGUCUACUCGCCGUCCCGAGGCCAACAUCAUCUGGGACCGCUGGAUAAGACCUUAGGAAUGUAGCUUCCCUCGGGAAGUGUUAUAGCCUGUGGUGAUGCAGCGCGUCUCGGGUGAGGUCCGCGCUUCGGCAAGGAUGUUGGCGUAAUGGUUGUCAGCGGCCCGUCUUGAAACACGGACCAAGGAGUCUAACAUCUAUGCGAGUGUUCGGGUGUCAAACCCCUACGCGUAAUGAAAGUGAACGGAGGUGGGAAGGGUGACCUGCACCAUCGACCGAUCCUGAUGUCCUCGGAUGGAUUUGAGUAAGAGCAUAGCUGUUGGGACCCGAAAGAUGGUGAACUAUGCCUGAAUAGGGUGAAGCCAGAGGAAACUCUGGUGGAGGCUCGCAGCGGUUCUGACGUGCAAAUCGAUCGUCAAAUUUGGGUAUAGGGGCGAAAGACUAAUCG
rnacentral:rRNA from 1 species